ACGGGUGAGUAAUGUCUGGGAAACUGCCUGAUGGAGGGGGAUAACUACUGGAAACGGUAGCUAAUACCGCAUAACGUCGCAAGACCAAANAGGGGGACCUUCGGGCCUCUUGCCAUCGGAUGUGCCCAGAUGGGAUUAGCUAGUAGGUGGGGUAACGGCUCACCUAGGCGACGAUCCCUAGCUGGUCUGAGAGGAUGACCAGCCACACUGGAACUGAGACACGGUCCAGACUCCUACGGGAGGCAGCAUG
rnacentral:rRNA from 1 species